AUGUUGAUUCAGUCAAAGAUCUCUUGGAAAAAUUAUUUCGACAAGAUUCACUCUAUAAUGUUGUUAUCAUUGUCCUCUGGAAUAUAUGGAAGCGCAAAAACUCCAAGGUCUCCCGAGAUGUUUGUGAGGAAUUGCACAUUACUGCUAGCAAGAUUGCUGAUGAUUGAUACCAUGGUCCAACAGUUUUAUGAAGUGGUUCAGGCUGGCGUAAGCCGCCAUACUCCCAGUAAAAAAAGGCUACAAGCUUCGCUUCGGCCUUUCGGAACUGAAUAUUAUGUAGUUUUAUUGAGAUUAUUGAUAGUGCUUCUGUACUAUCAAAGAAGAUAUGAACUUCAAAUUAUCCUGCAAUGUAUUGACUGCUCGGAGCUAACUUGA
rnacentral:rRNA from 1 species